rnacentral:piRNA from 1 species
AGGAAGGAACAGGAGGCAAGAAUG